UACGAAGGGGACUAGCGUUGUUCGGAAUCACUGGCGUAAAGCGCACGUAGGCGGAUUUGUAAGUCAGGGGUGAAAUCCCGGGGCUCAACCUCGGAACUGCCUUUGAUACUGCAAGUCUCGAGUCCGAUAGAGGUGAGUGGAAUUCCUAGUGUAGAGGUGAAAUUCGUAGAUAUUAGGAAGAACACCAGUGGCGAAGGCGGCUCACUGGAUCGGUACUGACGCUGAGGUGGCGAAAGCGUGGGGAG
rnacentral:rRNA from 1 species